rnacentral:rRNA from 1 species
GACGAACGCUGGCGGCGUGCUUAACACAUGCAAGUCGAACGGACAGACAGAGAGCUUGCUCUCUUGAAGUUAGUGGCGAACGGGUGAGUAACGCGUAAUCAACCUGCCCUUCAGAGGGGGAUAACAACGGGAAAACGUUGCUAAUACCGCGUACGAUUCAUGAACGGCAUCGUUUAUGAAUGAAAGGUGGCCUCGAUGUAUAAGCUAUCGCUGAAGGAGGGGAUUGCGUCUGAUUAGCUAGUUGGAGGGGUAACGGCCCACCAAGGCAAUGAUCACUAGCGGGUCAUAGAGGAUGAACGGCCACAUUGGGACUGAGACAAGGCCCAAACUACUACGGGAGGCAGCAGUGGGGAAUCUUCCGCAAUGGACGAAAGUCUGACGGAGCAACGCCGCGUUAGUGAUGAAGGUCUUCGGAUUGUAAAGCUCUGUUAAUCGGGACGAAAGAGUUCUGCGUGAAUAAUGCAGAAAAGUGACGGUACCGGAAUAGAAAGCCACGGCUAACUACGUGCCAGCCGCCGCGGUAA